AGGCAUAUGAGGGGAUCAUCAAUAUUGAGCCGCCACCUUCAAAAAGAAAAAAAGGAAAACCCUACCUGAAAGCGAGUUCUUUUUUUGCUAAAAAAAUACAUGGAGCAGCUUUAAGUUUUCUAUAGGGAACUAGAGCAGCCCCAAAAACCAAAAAACAAAAACCAAAAAAAAAAAAAACAACAAAACCUUCUUCCCCAAUUUUCGAAAACACAAAAAUGGGUUGGAUAGCCUUUGGAGGUUGAGGUUUCAAAGUUCCGUUGAUAUUUCGAGCUCGCGGGUCCGAAAAGUUAAUUUUAUUAAUUUGGAAAUCAGUAGAUUGUUAUUUUUAGUAAGAGAUUUACAAAGAGGUAACGGAGAAGAGCAGGUUCGUGAUACUCUCGACGCUUAGGAGAACUUGUUGCUGCUGUUGAUUUGGUGAGCCCACAUCCUUGUUCGUGGGACACUUCCUGUUUCAUUUAGUAUUCCAGAUUUCCGGGUUGCGUCCCGAAGUUAGAUGACUGUUUUAUCUCUUAGAAGUUCCAUAGAUAGUUGUCAGUAUUGUGGGUAGAUUGUCAAAGUCUCGUACGACUUAAUGGGUGUUUGCCACGUUUAUGACUAUUUACUUAUAAAGACUUCCGCUGAUUUAAUUCAUAUAUUUAUGAUUUGUUACAUUUAAUUUAAUUUAUAAA